GAUGACUUUUAUGCACAGAGUUCUGCUAUCUGGUGCCAGCUUGAUUCUCUCCGUAGUACUGGUUGUCGUACUUGCCCCUGCUGCCAGGCUGUCCAGGCCAACUUGGAGUUUCAUCGCGUCUACGAGUUCCUGUCUCGGCUCCGUAAGGAGUUUGAGCCCCGGCGUGCUCAGUUGUUUGCUCGUGGCCGUAUUUCUCUCAUGGAGGCGCUUUCAGAGAUUCGUGCUGAGGAGACUCGCUUACGUGGUGCUGGUUUGCUGGAGGUUCCCUCUGUGCUCGCUACUCGGGCUUCUUCCACUCCACCUGCUGCACCGCCCCAUUCUCGCUCGAGUGCUCCGCCACUCUUGCCCACUCCUUUUGGAGGCUCAGGUCGCCCCCGUCCACAUUGUGACUACUGCAACAAUGAUGGUCAUAUUGAGUCCCAGUGCUACACAAAGCGGAAACACCUGCGCAAGGCGCGAUCAUCCUCCUCAGGGACUUCGUCAUCUCCCUCGACAGCUUCAGCCAUUGCUUUGACUGAGCAGGAUAUUCUGAGACUUAAGCGUCUGCUCGCGGCUUCAGGUUCUUCCUCGACGGGUACU
rnacentral:rRNA from 1 species